GAUGAACGCUGGCGGCGUGCUUAACACAUGCAAGUCGAACGAAGCUGCCCAAAGGAAGUUUUCGGAUGGAAUUUAGGUAGACUUAGUGGCGGACGGGUGAGUAACGCGUGGAUAACCUGCCUUAUACAGGGGGAUAACGGAGAGAAAUUUCCGCUAAGACCGCAUAAGACCACAGCACCGCAUGGUGCAGGGGUAAAAUAUUUAUAGGUAUAAGAUGGAUCCGCGUCCGAUUAGCUUGUUGGUGAGGUAGAGGCUCACCAAGGCGACGAUCGGUAGCCGGCCUGAGAGGGUGAACGGCCACAUUGGGACUGAGACACGGCCCAAACUCCUACGGGAGGCAGCAGUGGGGAAUAUUGGACAAUGGGAGGAACCCUGAUCCAGCGACGCCGCGUGAGUGAAGAAGUAUUUCGGUAUGUAAAAGCUCUAUCAGCAGGGAAAGAAAAAUGACCGGUACCUGA
rnacentral:rRNA from 1 species